rnacentral:lncRNA from 1 species
CCACUUUCAGCUAUGUGGGUAUGGAGCAGGCAGAAGACUGGCUUUAACCAGGACUGGAUUUUCUGCCAUCAUUAUUCACAAUAACCAAGACAUGGAAACAAUGUAAGUGCCAUCAAUGGAUGAAUGGAUACAACGCAAGAGAAUAUUGUUCAG